ACUCACAAUACUUACAUGUCCCUUUUUUAAGUAGUCAAGAUGUUUUUCCACUGCAGUCUGUAAGUAAGAGGGUACUUGAAGAAUUUCCUGAUGAUGAUCCAUUAAGAAAGAAACUAAUCUUCCAGCAAGAAGCUCAUCAAGAUCCACUUCUUCAGCACAGCAUAACACACAUCGAGAAAAGCAGACUGAGAAGAAGGCACUCAGUUGAUUUGAAGGAAUUCAAAUUGUUUAAGUGAAGGAAUUUUGAAGACUGUGGAUCAUCUUGAAUUUUAUGUAUCCCACUGGAUCUAUCUGAAACUGUGAUGUAGCCACAAACAACUACCAGGAAAUGAAACAAAAAUUAAGAUGCAACUGUAUGACAGUGGACAAAAAUAAAACAAAAACAAUAGUAAAGUUAAAAAAUAAAGCAUUACUAUAGUAUAUAUUGUUAGUAUAGUAUACACAGUAGUUGCUUAAUUCAGAAGCCACUUAAAUAGGACACAUGCAACAUUCGGUUACAAACGUGCAAGACAGAUGAGUGGUUUUCCCAUUUGUAAUAUAACUUUAAAAAAUUAUUUCAACAGCCUAAUUAAAUGGAUUGAGCCAGAAUACAUUUAAAAAAUCUGUUCUCAGUCUGCAAGUACUAGAAACCUCAUAAAUAUAAGAUAAUUGUGGUAUAAUAAAAUACAUAUAUUUGAUCUUUGUCCUUGGUACCUGGUAUGGAGCUCCUAAAAUCCUUGAAAUUUCCUGAAUGAUAGAAGUCUUUAGUUACUCAUAACAAGCCUAUUUCAGCGUAUCUGAGUUCAUGCUAAGGUAACUGAGGGCCGGCCAUGGUUUGAAUUUUCAUCACCAACUACAACCUUGUGGGAGGAGAAAGGGGCUAGAGAUUGAGUUCAAUUGACAACAGUGACCAAUGAUUUGGUCAGUCAUGCCUUGGUAAUUAAACUUCAAUUAAAACUCUAAAACAUGCAGGCUGAGGGA
ensembl:lncRNA novel transcript